UACGGGGAGGGCACUGUGUCUCGGAAUCACUGGGCGUAAAGGGUGCGUAGGCGGGUCUUUAAGUCAGGGGUGAAAUCCUGGAGCUCAACUCCAGAACUGCCUUUGAUACUGAAGAUCUUGAGUUCGGGAGAGGUGAGUGGAACUGCGAGUGUAGAGGUGAAAUUCGUAGAUAUUCGCAAGAACACCAGUGGCGAAGGCGGCUCACUGGCCCGAUACUGACGCUGAGGCACGAAAGCGUGGGGAGCAAACAGGG
rnacentral:rRNA from 1 species